GGGCGAGUGGCGGAAUUGGUAUUCGCGCACGACUCAAAAUCGUGUGGGGCAACCCGUGUGGGUUCGAGUCCCACCUCGCCCACCA
rnacentral:tRNA from 1 species